rnacentral:misc_RNA from 1 species
AACAUCGCGCACCUGCGGGAACCUGCGGAGGGAUCAUUACAGAGUUGCAAAACUCCCUAAACCAUUGUGAACGUUACCUAAACCGUUGCUUCGGCGGGCGGCCCGGGUCCUUCCCGGCGCCCAUCGGCCCUCGCGGGCGCCCGCCGGAGGUAAACCAAACUAUUGCAUUGUAUGGCCUCUCUGAGUCUUCUGUACUGAAUAGGUCAAAACUUUUAACAACGGAUCUCAGAUCGGAAGAGC